CCUACGGGUGGCAGCAGUGAGGAAUAUUGGUCAAUGGACGAGAGUCUGAACCAGCCAAGUAGCGUGAAGGAUGACUGCCCUAUGGGUUGUAAACUUCUUUUAUAUGGGAAUAAAAUGUUCCACGUGUGGGAUUUUGUAUGUACCAUAUGAAUAAGGAUCGGCUAACUCCGUGCCAGCAGCCGCGGUAAUACGGAGGAUCCGAGCGUUAACCGGAUUUAUUGGGUUUAAAGGGAGCGUAGGUGGAUUGUUAAGUUAGUUGUGAAAGUUUGCGGCUCAACCGUAAAAUUGCAGUUGAAACUGGCAGUCGUGAGUACAGUAGAGGUGGGCGGAAUUCGUGGUGUAGCGGUGAAAUGCUUAGAUAUCACGAAGAACUCCGAUUGCGAAGGCAGCUCACUGGACUGCAACUGACACUGAGGCACGAAAGUGUGGGUAUCAAACAGGAUUAGAUACCCGAGUAGUC
rnacentral:rRNA from 1 species